ACGAGCAGUUGGACAUCACAGCCGUAAGAAAAUAGAGAUAGAUACAUUACAGGUUACGCCUCCUAAAAUGAUAAGGCCUUUAAAACAGAAAAGGAUGACUUCUGUACACUGUAAACACAAACUUAAAGACCAAUAGACAACACUUUCUUCAGAUUUGGGAUAUACUAUGUCCACGUCUGAGUUUCCCUUGGGGGAAUUCACAUUUCUGAUUUAUAUGCUCAUGUAGCAUCUUUCUGUGCUUCACGCGGCUUCCUGAGAAAAAAGCUCUAGUUACCAUGAUUAGAUUUGUCAGUUCCCAGAUCUGCCAACCUGAGAGAUGUGAUCAACACCAAGAUACCCUUCACCUUUAAAAAAUGUGAAUUUACAUUUUGAUGGAAAGUAAAAAUAAAAAUUUAAUG